GCCGAUGUGGUGGAAUUGGUAGACACGCUGUCUUGAGGGGGCAGUGGCGAGAGUCGUGCCGGUUCGAGUCCGGCCAUCGGCA
rnacentral:tRNA from 1 species